rnacentral:rRNA from 1 species
UUGACGGGGCCGCACAAGCGGUGGAGCAUGUGGUUAAUUCGAAGCAACGCGAAGAACCUUACCAGGUCUUGACAUCCCUGACAACCCAAGAGAUUUGGGCCGGUUCCCCUUCGGGGGACAGGGUGACAGGUGGUGCAUGGUUGUCGUCAGCUCGUGUCGUGAGAUGUUGGGUUAAGUCCCGCAACGAGCGCAACCCUCGCCUCUAGUUGCCAGCAUUCGGUUGGGCACUCUAGAGGGACUGCCGGCGACAAGUCGGAGGAAGGUGGGGAUGACGUCAAAUCAUCAUGCCCCUUAUGACCUGGGCUACACACGUGCUACAAUGGGCGGUACAAAGGGCUGCGAACCCGCGAGGGGGAGCGAAUCCCAAAAAGCCGCUCUCAGUUCGGAUUGCAGGCUGCAACUCGCCUGCAUGAAGCCGGAAUCGCUAGUAAUCGCGGAUCAGCAUGCCGCGGUCGAAUACGUUCCGGCCUU